rnacentral:rRNA from 1 species
CGUAGGCAGCGAGCGUUGUUCGGAGUUACUGGGCGUAAAGGGUGUGUAGGCGGUCUCUUAAGUCUGGUGUGAAAUCUCCCGGCUCAACUGGGAGGGUGCGCCGGAAACUGAGAGGCUUGGAGUGCGGGAGAGGAGAGUGGAAUUCCUGGUGUAGCGGUGAAAUGCGUAGAUAUCAGGAGGAACACCGGUGGUGCAGACGGCUCUCUGGACCGUAACUGACGCUGAGACACGAAAGCGUGGGGAGCAAACAGGAUUAGAUACCCUGGUAGUCCACGCCCUAAACGAUGCAUAUUUGGUGUAGGUCAUUCAGUUGAUCUGUGCCGGAGCUAACGCGUUAAAUAUGCCGCCUGGGGAGUACAGUCGCAAGGCUG